rnacentral:lncRNA from 1 species
UAAAAUUUAAUAUUAUAAGAGACUCUUAAUUUAAUUUCAAAUUAAUAUAAAAGCCAAAUUACCAUUUAUAGAUAAAUCUGAACUCAAAAUUAAUAAACAAACAAUAGUUAACACAACCAAGAAAGCAUCAGUGAUUAGGAACGCCACUUCUUCGGCUUUUGCCGAUAUGACACCGAAAAUUACGAAUUUGAUCAGAUUUAGUCUAUUUUCCGGCGCGGCUUGAAAAAAGAAAGAGAGAAGGGUAUUUUUAAUGGUGGUUGGUGGCUGACGACUCGAUGAUAGCGAAUUCCGGCGAGAAAUUCACCGUUUUCCAGCGGGUAUCCACCAUUUCCGGCGAGGUGGAUGGCGAUUCCAGCGAUGAGUGGUUGAUUUUGCAACAUGGGGGAGGGGGAAGGCGCCAGAGAUGGCACUGUUGUUUUGUCGGCGAGCAGCGGCGGGAAAAGGGGAAGAGGGACGAUGGUUGACGGAGAACGGCGACCGGAUGGAGGCAGCAGUGACGCGAUGGCGUUUUCCGGUAGGUAGGGGUAGUUUGGCCGACGAUUUUUGCGAUUUUUCGACGGAAUAGCCAUCGAAAUAGUGACGGCAGUGGCAGAAAAGAUUGGAUCUGACGAGAAUUGGAGUUUUCCAAUCUUUGUAUUCAAAUUCAAAAACUAGCUCAGAUUACCCAAGUCUACAUAAACAAAUCACCAAUCUAUUCCCAACAAAUGUGAAACUUUUCACCCAGUCUAACAAAAGCACCUACAAUGAUACUCAGUAAGUGAAUCCAAACACUCUUACAACUGCAUCAAGUGUCAAAUGUCAAGGUGUAUUGAGAAGAGAAAUAUGUGGCACUUAAAUUUUUGCUCAAGAUUACAUCAACUACUAAUUAUCGUACAACAACAUUUUGGUAAAAAAAAAAAAAACAUUUUGGUUAAAAAAAAAAAAGCAUGGAACUUUGUAUAUAUACUAACAAAAGAAUAUGAGUGCUAAACUAAUUAGCAAAAUUAACAACAAAGAGGAGCGAAAAAAGAGAGAGGAAGAAGCUCUACCUUGUAAACUAAUAAUACAUAAAUAAAGAAAGCUUUCCUAGAAAAUUUACAUUAAGCCCAUCUAGUUUUGCGUUAAAUAGGAAAUGAAAGAAGGGAAGAUGAAAAGACUACAAUCACUUUUCAUCUGACCAACUUUCUAGAUGAUGGAAUGAAUAAUAAUAAAUAAAACAGAAAAGCGUCAAAAAUAUUCUUGAACUAUGUUAAAUGGAUUAAAAAUGCCUCUCAUUAAUUUCUUGGCUUAAAAAUAUCUCUCCAUUAAAUAUUUAGUUCAAAAAUAUCCUUUUUUCUAAUAAAAUUUCACCAAGCAUGCUACAUGUGUAAAAAAGACCACGUGGACAUGUCACAUGAUCGUCCACAUGUAAAAUUCACUCUUUAUUUGCAACCAUUUGGCUGUGAUUUGUUCUCUGUGGAUCCAUUCGUAAGAAUAAGUGUUUAGAACUAAAUUCUUGCGUCGUAUUUUUAGAAUAAUUCGAUGUGAAAAAUUAUUUUCUCCUUCCUUGGUUAGAAAUAACCUGUAUGAUGACUAUAUUUGGAUGUUAUGCUAUGUUUCACUUUUACCAUCAACAUAUGAGAUGAUCUUCUUUAAUCUGCUUAAUCCAGUUUUAAAUUUCUCCUCAUUUCAUUGAUAACAUACAAUUUUUCGUUGGAAUUGAUUGGACUGAAAAAUUGGACAGUUCUUUUUUCGAUUUUAAUGUGCCGAUUCUGUGUUAUUUAUUCAUUUUAUCUGAUCAAGCUUGUUAAAUUUCUUGUUGCUCUAUGUAAGAGUUGAAGAAAGUUCUCAAUAUGUAUACAAAAUAUAGAGUUGAAAAAAGUUCUCUUUGCAUUUUAUAGGACGGGUAGUUUACAUGAAAUGUACAGUCACUUCACUAUUAAGUACACAGUAACAUGAUAAUAGCUUGUGUUUUUUUAUCAAGUUAUCUGGCAUGAAGCACGGUGACCUGACAGUACUGUACCCAAACGUUGGUAGAUGACGGAUAGCAAGAUGUUCCAUUUUUCCCCUCUUAGGCCAAUAACUUUGGCUUGAAAAACAACAAUUUUGAUUUCUUUAUGGCUGGAUCGAUUUCUUUAUAUAAAUCAAACAUUCACAUGUUCUGGUUGUUGCUGCUACUUUUGAAUUUUCUGUUGUUUAAAAGUUUAGACAAAGAUAACUUCCUUAAUUCCAUCCACCUGCCUCUCCUAGAUUCUUGUUACGUUAUGAUUGUUCCUUCAAGAUGUGUAGUAAUGAAACUGAUGUGGCUAUCUCAUUUAAAUUGGGUUGAUAGAAUUAAAGAGGAGAUUUUACAUGGACGAUGAUGUAGCAUGUUCAUAUGGCUUUUUUACACAUGUGGUAUGCUUGGUGGAAUUCUGUGAGAGGGAGGGGCAUUUUUUAGCUAAAUAUUUAACGAAAGAGUAUUUUUGAGCCAAGAAAUUAACGAGGAAUAUUUUUAAUUCAUUUCACAUAAUUUAGGAAUAUUUUUUAUCUUUUUCCGAUAAAUAAAAUAAGAGGAGAUGAAAAGUCAUUUUUUCAACCCACAGACUUUUGAUAUGACAAUUCAUUAUGUAACUUCACUGUUUUCUCCAAAGUUUUAAUUAAAUAUACUUAGUGGGUGUUAGUGGGUGUUUGGAAGUGCUUAUAGGUUGGUCAGAGAGGUCACUUAACUUUUGAAGAGUUUUUUAAAUCUAACCUUCAACUAUUCCCACCGUUUUAUCUAUUUAGCCUUCUUGACUUUGUAUAUUUUUUAAAAAAAAAAAAAAUUAUGAAUGUAUUUUACUAGAUUAAUUUUAUUAAUAAUAUUUUAAAAUUUUAAUUUUAAUUAAUGUUAUUAUUUUAUACAGUUAUUUAAUAAUAAGACUCGAAUUCAAAAUUAAUUAAGGAUGAAUGAAUCAUAUCUAUCACACUAAACCCGAGGUGUCCUUCUGUUUGAAAUGUACUUUGUAUUUCUUUUUAUUUUUUUUAUUUGAGUUGCAAUUAUAUUCCUAAACACUUGCUCUUUUAAUCUUUUAAAAUAAUUUGAACAAAAAUUUUUUAUUAUGUCUUUAUUUAAUAAAUGUAUUAUUAUUGAUUUAAAAAAGAUAUAAAUUUAAUUAGGAAUAUAUUGAUAAAAUUAAUUUUAAUUUUAUAGGGAUACAAAAUUUUAAGAUUUUAUAGGAGUACAAGUGUGCCCGACUCAAAUGAAGCAAAUAAAAAGCAACAGAGGAAGUAACUCAUUGGGUUAGGGACUUACUCGUCAUUUGGUGUGAGGUAUAAGGGAUAAGUAGUCUCAGGAUAAAAUGAAGGAUCAUUUUCUCCCAUGUUUGGUUGGUGGUAUUAGUCAAUACCGGGAUAACUUAUCUCACCAUUUAUACCAUAGUGAUGGGAUAAGUUAUUCCAUAUGCAUGAUAGGAUAAGAUAUUUCGGAUAAUCCUGAAACAAUCAAUCCCGAGAUUAAUUAUCCCGGGAUAACUAUUUCCCAAACAAACGACUCGCAUGUAAUCUGCAUCCUGAGGUUUGAACCAGUUUAAUUUUUACUAGUAAUUAAUUCUAUUCCUUGGGAUGUACUCCUUCCGUCUCAUUUUACUCGAUCAAUUUGAUAUUGCACAUUGAUUAAGAAAAAUAAUUAAUAACAUGACUACUUUACCAUUUCUAUUAAAUGAUGUUCACAUUUUAAUUUGAGGAAAAAACAAUUAAUAUUAAGGGUAAAAAAGGAAAAAAAAAUUAUCUUGUCUUAAUUAAUAAAAAAUAACAAGUAAAAUGAGAAUAAAAUUAGAAAAUUUGAGACGAGUAAAAUGAGACGGAAGGAGUAGUCCAAGCUGCAGUGGCACCUCACGAACUUCUUACUGGGGCAGUACUAUAAUAGGCAUUUGCGAGUGUUUGAAUGCACGUGUUUUGUUCAUAUUCACGUGUUUUGUUCAUAUUUCUGCGCAGUAAGAGAAAAAUUGUCCCCAAGGAAGGGUCCAACAAAGAUCUUGGUUUGAUCAAGUUCAACAAAGAUCUUGGUUUGAUCAAGUUCGGGCCUGAUCGAGACGUGUUAUAAUAUGGAAUCAGUGUGAGAUUGACGAUUACACCAAG